rnacentral:lncRNA from 1 species
ACUCAGUGUUCCUGGGUCACCCCAUCACCAUAUGACCUCUCUGUGCUCAAAGAUCCAUCCCUCCCCCAUGCCCACAGGCCCAUACCCCUGUGAUCCUUAUUCUUAGGCUCUGUCUCAGUGUGCUCAUCUUGCUUCAGCUGGGCGAGGAGAAGUUUGGCAGUGUGAUGGACAUGGGAGUGGAGCUCCAGCAAGGAGUCAAGGACACAGGAUGUGGAGCUGCAGAAAGCAGGUUUUAGCUGAUGUAGUGCUGUGUUGCCCAGUGUCUGUGCCUCCUCUGGACUCCACUUGCACUGCAGUGAAUCCACAUCUAGGGAGGAAAAGAGGGCCUUUGUCUACUGUAUGUGAGUAAUACCUACUCUGAUUAUGACUGUGUAGACACCAAAUAUCACUGAAACCCAAGUGGGCAGUGAUUGGAUCUGCUGUGGAUAUUGUUUCAUGAUCAAUACCUAGAAAAGUGUCGCACAUAGUUUGUCUUCAUGUAUGUUGGUAAAGAUAUGUAGCCACCUGCUCUUCC